rnacentral:rRNA from 1 species
GACCUGGCUGCGUGGUCUUGCCGCAAGGUAAGCACUGCUGUGGUCGGGUCUUUCCUUCUGGGGAACCAGCAUGCUCUUCACUGAGUGUGUUGGGGAUCCAGGACUUUUACUUUGAAAAAAUUAGAGUGUUUAAAGCAGGCCUACGCUUGAAUACAUUAGCAUGGAAUAAUAGAAUAGGACGUGCGGUUCUAUUUUGUUGGUUUCUAGAGUCGCCGUA